GACGAACGCUGGCGGCGUGCCUAAUACAUGCAAGUAGAACGCUGAAGGAGUAGCUUUCUUCUCUGGAUGAGUUGCGAACGGGUGAGUAACGCGUAAGUAACCUGCCUGUGAGCGUGGGAUAACUAUUGGAAACGAUAGCUAAUACCGCAUAAUAGUAGAUGUCGCAUGACAUUGGCUGAAAAGUUUCAGUUGCAGCACUACCAGAUGGACCUGCGUUGUAUUAGCUAGUAGGUGAGGUAACGGCUCACCAAGGCAACGAUACAUAGUAGACCUGCGAGGGGGAUCGGCCACCCUGGGACGGUGACCCGCCACAGUGUGCUUCGGGAGGGAGCAGUAGGGCAUCUGCGGCAAGGGACGGAAGACAGACCGCGAAACGCCGAGGGCGUGAGGAAGGUUUUCGGAUCGUAAAGCUCUGUUGUCAGAGAAGAACCCGUGUGCGAGUGGAAAGUUCACACUGUGACGGUAAUUGACAAGAAAGGGACGGCUAACUACGUG
rnacentral:rRNA from 1 species